rnacentral:lncRNA from 1 species
GGAGGCCAAGGCAGGACGCGGGCUGCGGGCGUGGGAGGGCACGAUCUCAGCUCACUGCAACUCGGCGAGGCGCUGGCCGAGACCAUGACUAUUGGUUUUUAGGUGGUGUUUUGCUCUGUCAUCCAGGCUGGAGUGCAACGGCACAAUCUCAGCUCACUGCAACAUCUGCCUCCCAGGUUCAAGCCAUUGUCCUGCCUCAAGAGGAGAUUCUACUGUCUCAGCCUCCCGAGUAG